GCUGGGUGUGGUGUCGCGCACCUGUAGUCCCAGCUACUCAGGAGGCUGAGGCAGGAGAAUUGCUUGAACCCGGGAGGCAGAGGUUGCAGUGAGCUGAGAUUGUGCCACUGCACUCCAGCCUGGCACUGGCGACAGACGGAGACGCUGUCUCAAGAAAAAGAGACAGAGUCUCACUGUCUCGCCCAAGCUGGAGUGCAGUAGUGCCAUCUCGGCUCAUUGCAACCUCCACCUCCUGGGUUCAGGCAAUUAUUCUGCCUCAG
rnacentral:SRP_RNA from 1 species